rnacentral:tRNA from 1 species
UCGCCUGAAGCUCAGUGGAUAGAGCAUUGUUUCCUAAACAGAAGGUCGUAGGUUCUCGACCCCUACCUGGCGCG